rnacentral:rRNA from 1 species
UACGGAGGGAGCUAGCGUUGUUCGGAAUUACUGGGCGUAAAGAGCGCGCAGGCGGUCGUUCAAGUCGCGUGUGAAAGCCCCCGGCUCAACUGGGGAGGGUCACGCGAUACUGAUCGACUCGAAGGCAGGAGAGGGUAGUGGAAUUCCCGGUGUAGUGGUGAAAUGCGUAGAUAUCAUGAGGAAUACCAGAGGCGAAGGCGGCUACCUGGACAAUUGCUGACGCUCAGGCACGAAAGCGUGGGGAGCAAAAGGG